AAACUUACCUGGCAGGGGAGACACCACGUUCACGAAGGUGAUUUUCCCAGGGCCAUGCACUGUACUCUGGGCGUGCUGACCCCUGCGGUUUCCCCGAAUGCAGGAAACUUCACUGCGUAAUUUGUGGUAGGGGGGUGUCUGCGUGUAUGCUCUGCCCUG